GACGCUUUGCCGCAGUGGUUACCGGGUUCGCCUGCUAUCUUGUAGUUCAGCGAAUAUGCUUUGCAUACGUGUGUUCGAAUCACACAGGCGUCG
rnacentral:tRNA from 1 species